rnacentral:rRNA from 1 species
GAUGAACGCUGGCGGCGUGCCUAAUACAUGCAAGUCGAGCGAACAGACGAGGAGCUUGCUCCUCUGACGUUAGCGGCGGACGGGUGAGUAACAAGUGGAUAACCUACCUAUAAGACUGGGAUAACUUCGGGAAACCGGAGCUAAUACCGGAUAAUAUAUUGAACAGCAUGGUUCAAUAGUGAAAGACGGUUUUGCUGUCACUUAUAGAUGGAUCCGCGCCGCAUUAGCUAGUUGGUAAGGUAACGGCUUACCAAGGCAACGAUGCGUAGCCGACCUGAGAGGGUGAUCGGCCACACUGGAACUGAGACACGGUCCAGACUCCUACGGGAGGCAGCAGUAGGGAAUCUUCCGCAAUGGGCGAAAGCCUGACGGAGCAACGCCGCGUGAGUGAUGAAGGUCUUCGGAUCGUAAAACUCUGUUAUUAGGGAAGAACAAAUGUGUAAGUAACUAUGCACGUCUUGACGGUACCUAAUCAGAAAGCCACGGCUAACUACGUG